UCUGGUAGAGAUACUGGAGUGCUAGCUUGCUAGAACUUGUAAACAAGGUGCUGCACGGCUGUCGUCAGCUCGUGUCGUGAGAUGUGGUUAAGUCCCGCAACGAGCGCAACCUCGUCGUUAGUUGCUAACAGUUAGGCUGAGAACUCUAACGAGACUGCCUUCGUAAGGAGGAGGAAGGUGAGGACGACGUCAAGUCAUCAUGGCCCUUACGGCCAGGGCUACACACGUGCUACAAUGGGGUGUACAGAAAGCUGCAAUAUCGCGAGAUGGAGCAAAUCUCAAAAACACCUCCCAGUUCGGAUUGUUCUCUGCAACUCGAGAACAUGAAGUUGGAAUCGCUAGUAAUCGUAGAUCAGCAUUGCUACGGUGAAUACGUUCCCGGGUCUU
rnacentral:rRNA from 1 species